CAAGUCUCAAACACCCUUAAUCCUCCCUACUGAGAAAACCUUGUGCAUGGGUUAGAGAAUUUCAAUUCAGUCCCAGGAGAGGAUGCCUUGUUUCAGAUCGAUAUAGACUCAGUUUCAUUUUUGUUUUCUAAAAUAUUUUGUUUAAGUUUUUUUUUCUUUUUUUCUAGAAACCACCAACCUGCAGACAGGAAUAUCUGUUAGUUUUGCCAUCGUUUGGAAUCAUAUAUAGAGAGAUCAAAGAAUAUGCAAUUGGAUAUUGCUGGUGGAGCCAAGUGAUAUCUUGCCACUCUGUACAUGUGAUUUGUGAUGGCAAAAUAUUACCAAGUACAAAUAGCCUAAAAAAAAAAGGACCUAAAAAUAAAAUAGAUUUAUU